UAAAUGUACUUACUCGAUAAUAUUAAAUAGUUUAGGAACGAAGUCAAAAGAUGUUCGUCGCCACUUCGUUGCUAUGGUUGAAAUGCAAUAGAACGAUAACUUCCGGUAGGUUUUCCCUGUGCAACGGACCGGCAAGAAACACAGGCGGUAACCUUUCGUUCCGCUUCUCAAAUUCAGAUCCAAAACGACUGGAAACUGUCUGGCACGCUGUUAAUUUGGCAACCCCACCACAUGAUGCAAGCUGUAUAUGAGACCUUCGUUUGAACAUUAUCUUCAGAAAAACAGAUUUGUCUUAACCUGGGAGCCCGACAGCAUGCGGACACUCUUCAGCCGGAGGAUCAUGAGGCCGUAGCAGACGGUGAUGAUGAGGACGGGCAUGAUGAAGGCAAAGAUGAACACGCAGAUCUUCAGCAGAGUGUCCCAAUACCAGGGAGGGUGGGGGAAUAUCAGCUUGCAGUCAACAAUGCUUGAGGCUGCUGCACAGGAGAUACUUGAGAGCGAUUUGCCGAGAGGAGCGUGUCUCGUGUGCAGCAGUUUGAGCUAUGGGGGUUUAGCCUGUUGCCAUGAUGUCUAUCAUCUUUGUUUCUCUUUCCGUCUGUCUGCUGGGCACCGACUCAGCAGCUCCUGUUCUUCAGAGGCAGACCCUUUAGUGUUAAUUAGGAAAAGAGAAGAGGCAACAACGGCCAAAUAAACAUCUGGCGAUGUACUCAAAUGUGUACGGCUGAGUGGCUUGCAUUGUUUUGAUAACUGCAGACUAAUUAGACAAAAGCAAAGACAAAAGUUAUCAAAAAAACUGCCAUGUACUCAGAUGUUUGUCUUGUUCUGUUAGCUUUUAGCUGUUAGCCUCACACACCCUCCUAAACAGCCAUUCAUUGACCUAUAAAACAGUCACAAAAAUAUGUUUGUAACUUGUGAUACACUGCGACCAUGAAUGUUCCUAAAGAUAGUAAUAAAUCAGCACCAAAUAUAUAUAUAAAUAGUCCAGUCGUAUGUGAAUAAGUCUUGGACAAACACAGAGAUGCACACACACUUAUACACUUACUUACACAACUACUCACACACUUAAU